CCAAAAAUUAAAAAUUAGCCUGGCGCGGUGGUGGCACCUAUAGUCCCAGCUACUCGGGUGGCUGAGGUGAGAGGAACGCUUGAGCCCAGGAGUUCGAGGCUGCAGUGAGCUGUGAUCACCACUGCACUCCAGCCUGGGUGACAGAGUGAGACCCUGUCUCAAAUCAAAAACCAAUACAAAGAAGAAAAAUGAAAGAAACCGAAAAUGGAGGAAACAGCAACCAAAAUGCCUGUUGACUGGAGAAUGUUUGUGCCCAUGUGGUCCAGGCACAUGCGAGGUUGCCAAUCACUUUGAGAGGGGUCAGCAUGUGAAGAGAUAUCAAAGAUUUCACUACUCGAACCCGUGUCAGAAGCUGACCACACCCCAAGCUAGUCAAGUGUUUAGAACGGAGCCAUAGUCUGAUGGGUGUUUCUGUGGAGGCCUCUCCUGCAGUUCUCUUGAACCUGGCCUGCUGUGUCUCUAUUCCACCUGGUCCCUUGAGAAUCCUCCAGAAGCCAGAUGACUCCUGCAU
rnacentral:lncRNA from 1 species